AGAGUUUGAUCCUGGCUCAGAACGAACGCUAGCGGCGUGCCUAACACAUGCAAGUCGUACGAUAAAUCCCGGGCAACUGGGAGAGUAAAGUGGCGCACGGGUGAGUAACGCGUGGGUAAUCUACCUUGGAGUUCGGAACAACACUUCGAAAGGGGUGCUAAUACUGGAUAUUGUCUUCGAAGUUUCGGCUUUGAAGAUGAAAGAUGGCUGAGGCUUGCAAGCUAUUGCUCCAAGAUGAGCCCGCGUACCAUUAGCUUGUUGGUGGGGUAACGGCUCACCAAGGCAAUGAUGGUUAGCUGGUCUGAGAGGAUGGCCAGCCACACUGGAACUGAGACACGGUCCAGACUCCUACGGGAGGCAGCAGUGAGGAAUCUUGCGCAAUGGGGGCAACCCUGACGCAGCAACGCCGCGUGAGUGAUGAAGGCCUUCGGGUCGUAAAGCUCUGUCAGGCGGAAAGAAAGUUUUCAGGGUGAACAAUCCUGGAGAUUGACGGUACCGCCAGAGGAAGCACCGGCUAACUCCGUGCCAGCAGCCGCGGUAAUACGGAGGGUGCUAGCGUUUGUUUCGGAAUUAUUGGGCGUAAAGAGCGUGUAGGCGGCCUCGUAAGUCAGAUGUGAAAUCCCUUGGCUUAACCAAGGAAGUGCAUUUGAAACUGCUUGGCUUGAGUACGGGAGGGGGAAGCGGAAUUCCCGGUGUAGAGGUGAAAUUCGUAGAUAUCGGGAGGAACACCGGUGGCGAAGGCGGCUUCCUGGACCGAUACUGACGCUGAGACGCGAAAGCGUGGGGAGCAAACAGGAUUAGAUACCCUGAUAGUCCACGCCGUAAAACUUUGGGCACUAGGUGUUGCGGGUAUUGACCCCUGCAGUGCCGAAGCUAACGCAUUAAGCGCCCCGCCCUGGGGGAGUACGGGCCGCAUGACUAAAACUCAAAGGGAUUGACGG
rnacentral:rRNA from 1 species